rnacentral:rRNA from 1 species
AGCUCCAAUAGCGUAUAUUAAAGUUGUUGCAGUUAAAAAGCUCGUAGUUGGAUUUGUGGGUUCUGCCGGGGUCCAAUUUGGUACCUUGGCGGCGUCCAUCCUUGGGUGGAUCCUGCGUGGCAUUAAGUUGUCGCGUAGGGGAUGCUCAUCGUUUACUGUGAAAAAAUUAGCGCGUUCAAAGCAAGCUUAUGCUGUUGAAUAUAUUAGCAUGGAAUAAUGAGAUAGGACCUUGGUACUAUUUUGUUGGUUUGCGCACCGAGGUAAUGAUUAAUAGGGACAGUUGGGGGUAUUCGUAUUCCAUUGUCAGAGGUGAAAUUCUUGGAUUUCUGGAAGACGAACUACUGCGAAAGCAUUUACCAAGGAUGUUU